ACUAGAAUCAGUCAGACUCAAACACACUUCAAAUUGAACAUAAAGCACAACUUGUUCUUAAAUGAAGAAACAGAAACUGAAGAACAAAUGCUCUGUACAAAAAUGAUCGAGAAAGUAGAAUGCAAAAUGGCAACUGACAGCAGGAUAAUAAUCAGCGGCACAAUCGAUCAAAAUUAGCUUUAUGAACUGCUAACCUUUGAAAAGGUACAGAUGGUUAAAUACAACUUGUUGUUAUAAAAUGUAAACCAUUAGUGACCAGUCACAUGACACCAGUACAAUUGAGAAAUGUGAACACAAAACAGACAGAUGGAGGAAAUGGUUCUCAAGAAGUUGAUGCCAGUUUUCAAAUAAUUAUAAUUUUGACUUUACCCAAAUCACUCCACUCACUGAGUAUGGCCAAUAAAAUCCAACA